ACGACCCCUUUCUUCUUUCUUCACACAUGCAAGUCGAACGGUAAGGCCCCAGCUUGCUGGGGUACACGAGUGGCGAACGGGUGAGUAACACGUGGGUGACCUGCCCCGCACUUCGGGAUAAGCCUGGGAAACUGGGUCUAAUACCGGAUAGGACCGCACCGUGAGGGUGUGGUGGAAAGUUUUUCGGUGUGGGAUGGGCCCGCGGCCUAUCAGCUUGUUGGUGGGGUAAUGGCCUACCAAGGCGGCGACGGGUAGCCGGCCUGAGAGGGUGGACGGCCACAUUGGGACUGAGACACGGCCCAGACUCCUACGGGAGGCAGCAGUGGGGAAUAUUGCACAAUGGGCGGAAGCCUGAUGCAGCGACGCCGCGUGGGGGAUGACGGCCUUCGGGUUGUAAACUCCUUUCACCAUCGACGAAGGUUUUCUGACGGUAGAUGGAGAAGAAGCACCGGCUAACUACGUG
rnacentral:rRNA from 1 species